rnacentral:rRNA from 1 species
GAUGAACGCUGGCGGCGUGCCUAAUACAUGCAAGUCGAGCGAACAGACGCGUUGCUUUCUGCUCUGACGUUAGCGGUGGACGGGUGAGUAACACGUGGAUAAUCUCCUUAUCACACUUUCUUAACUUCGGGAUGCCGGAGUUAAUACCACGUAAUAUUUUGAAUCUCAUGGUUCAUUAGUGUGAGACGGUUUUUCUUUCACUUAUGGAUGGAUCCGCGCCGUAUCAGCUAGUUGGUCAGGUGAGGGCCUACCAAGGCAACGAUGCGUAGCCGGCCUGAGAGGGAGAGCGGCCACACUGGAAGGGAGAGAGGGACCAGACACAUAAGGGAGGGAGGAGUAGGGAAGCAUCAGCAAAGGGCGAAAGCCUGACGGAGCAAGGGCGCGUGAGUGAUGAAGGUAUGCGGAUCGUAAAACACUGUUAUUAGGGAAGAACAAAGGUGUAAGUAACUAGGCAGGGCGUGAAGGUAACUAAGAAGAAAGCCACGGCUAAAUAAGUG